GACGAACGCUGGCGGCGUGCCUAAUACAUGCAAGUAGAACGCUGAAGAGAGGAGCUUGCUCUUCUUGGAUGAGUUGCGAACGGGUGAGUAACGCGUAGGUAACCUGCCUUGUAGCGGGGGAUAACUAUUGGAAACGAUAGCUAAUACCGCAUAACAAUGGAUGACACAUGUCAUUUAUUUGAAAGGGGCAAUUGUUCCACUACAAGAUGGACCUGCGUUGUAUUAGCUAGUAGGUGAGGUAAUGGCUCACCUAGGCGACGAUACAUAGCCGACCUGAGAGGGUGAUCGGCCACACUGGGACUGAGACACGGCCCAGACUCCUACGGGAGGCAGCAGUAGGGAAUCUUCGGCAAUGGGGGCAACCCUGACUGAGCAACGCCGCGUGAGUGAAGAAGGUUUUCGGAUCGUAAAGCUCUGUUGUAAGUCAAGAACGGGUGUGAGAGUGGAAAGUUCACACUGUGACGGUAGCUUACCAGAAAGGGACGGCUAACUACGUG
rnacentral:rRNA from 1 species